rnacentral:rRNA from 1 species
ACGAGCGCUGGCGGCGUGCUUAACACAUGCAAGUCGAACGGAAAGGCCCUGCUUUUGUGGGGUGCUCGAGUGGCGAACGGGUGAGUAACACGUGAGUAACCUGCCCUUGACUUUGGGAUAACUUCAGGAAACUGGGGCUAAUACCGGAUAGGAGCUCCUGCCGCAUGGUGGGGGUUGGAAAGUUUCGGCGGUUGGGGAUGGACUCGCGGCUUAUCAGCUUGUUGGUGGGGUAGUGGCUUACCAAGGCUUUGACGGGUAGCCGGCCUGAGAGGGUGACCGGCCACAUUGGGACUGAGAUACGGCCCAGACUCCUACGGGAGGCAGCAGUGGGGAAUAUUGCACAAUGGGCGGAAGCCUGAUGCAGCAACGCCGCGUGCGGGAUGACGGCCUUCGGGUUGUAAACCGCUUUCGCCUGUGACGAAGCGUGAGUGACGGUAAUGGGUAAAGAAGCACCGGCUAACUACGUG